GUAGGUGGCAAGCGUUGUCCGGAAUUAUUGGGCGUAAAGCGCGCGCAGGCGGUUCUUUAAGUCUGAUGUGAAAGCCCACGGCUCAACCGUGGAGGGUCAUUGGAAACUGGAGAACUUGAGUACAGAAGAGGAAAGCGGAAUUCCACGUGUAGCGGUGAAAUGCGUAGAGAUGUGGAGGAACACCAGUGGCGAAGGCGGCUUUCUGGUCUGUACCUGACGCUGAGGCGCGAAAGCGUGGGGAGCAAACAGGGAUUAGAUACCCUGGUAGUCCACGCCGUAAACGAUGAGUGCUAAGUGUUAGGGGGGUUUCCGCCCCCUUAGUGCUGCAGCUAACGCAUUAAGCACUCCGCCUGGGGAGUACGGCCGCAAGGCUG
rnacentral:rRNA from 1 species